CUGGCGAACAAGCUGCCACACUUCCAACGUGGUGAAGUAAACAGCGCCUUGUCUGAUUUCUCAGUCUGCACAUGUGCGAAAACAGAUGGUGGUAGCAGAAAUAAGUGAGCAGCGUUGUCGUGAGAUGCCAGCUUUUGGUGCAACACUGAAACCAAAUACAUGCUUGACAAAACGAAGGAUUUAAAUCUUCUGGGUGAUUCAUGUUCAUAUUUUCAGGAAAAAGUGAUUACACGUUUUGUAACACGUUACCUCUAGCACUGGUCAUUACCUCAGAAGAGUUCACAGGAUUUUGGGGGCCGGAAUGGAUUGUCACUGGACGGGACCCCCAUAAGCAGCGGG